GAAUAGUACCGUGAGGGAAAGGUGAAAAGAACCCCGGGAGGGGAGUGAAAUAGAACCUGAAACCCUACACUUACAAGCUGUGGGAGCGCAUUAUUCGCGUGACCGCGUACUUUUUGUAGAACGGGCCAACGAGUUACGUUAUGUGGCAAGGUUAAGCACUUAAGGUGUGGAGCCGAAGCGAAAGCGAGUCUUAACUGGGCGCCAUAGUCACAUGACGUAGACCCGAAACCGGGCGACCUACCCAUGAGCAGGAUGAAGCGAAAGUAAAAUUUCGUGGAGGUCCGAACCCACGUACGUUGAAAAGUGCGGGGAUGACUUGUGGGUAGCGGUGAAAUUCCAAUCGAGCUCGGAGAUAGCUGGUUCUCCCCGAAAUAGCUUUAGGGCUAGCCUUGAAAUUUAGAGAUGUGGAGGUAGAGCACUGAAUGUCCUAGGGGGUAUUGCACUUACCGAAGACUAUCAAACUCCGAAUGCCAUUAUCUUUUGUUCAGGAGUCAGACUAUGGGUGAUAAGGUUCAUAGUCGAAAGGGAAAGAGCCCAGACCGUCAGCUAAGGUCCCUAAAUGUAUGUUAAGUGGUAAAGGAUGUGGGAUUGCACAGACAACCAGGAUGUUGGCUUAGAAGCAGCCACUCAUUUAAAGAGUGCGUAAUAGCUCACUGGUCGAGUGAUCCUGCGCCGAAGAUUUCCGGGGCUAAAACAUACUACCGAAGCUACGGCAUCAUAUGAUGAUGGGUAGGGGAGCUUCCCAUGCAGGCUGAAGCGAUACCGUAAGGAGUCGUGGACAGUAUGGGAGAGAGAAUGUUGGCAUGAGUAGCGAGAUGAGGGUGAGAAUCCCUCAGGCCGUAAACCCAAGGUUUCCAGGGGAAGGUUCGUCCUCCCUGGGUUAGUCGGGACCUAAGCUCAGGCCGAAAGGCGUAGGCGAUGGACAACAGGUUGAGAUUCCUGUACUACCGAUAAUCGUUUGAGAGAAGGGAUGACACAGUAGGAUAAGCUGAGCACACUGUUGGUUAUGUGUGUCUAAGCGUUGAGGCAGACUAGAUAGGCAAAUCCGUUUAGUUAAUGCUGGGGCGCGAUGGGGAGCGAAACUAAGUAGCGAAGCAGCUGAUUUCACACUGUCGAGAAAAGUCUCUAUCGAGAUUAAAGGUACCCGUACCGCAAACCGACACAGGUAGGUGAGGAGAGAAUCCUAAGGCCAGCGAGAGAACUGUUGUUAAGGAACUCGGCAAAAUGACCCCGUAACUUAGGGAUAAGGGGUGCCCCAGCAAUGGGGCCGCAGAGAAUUGGCCCAAGCGACUGUUUACCAAAAACAUAGGUUUCUGCUAAGUCGCAAGACGAUGUAUAGGAGCUGACGCCUGCCCGGUGCUGGAAGGUUAAGGGGAUCUGUUAGAGCAAUCGAAGCAGUGAUCUUAAGCCCCAGUAAACGGCGGCCGUAACUAUAACGGUCCUAAGGUAGCGAAAUUCCUUGUCGGGUAAGUUCCGACCCGCACGAAAGGCGUAACGAUUUGGGCACUGUCUCAACAACAGACUCGGUGAAAUUGUAAUCCCGGUGAAGAUGCCGGGUACCUGCGACAGGACGGAAAGACCCCAUGGAGCUUUACUGUAGCUUGACAUUGGGUUUCGAUACUACAUGUACAGGAUAGGUGGGAGACUAUGAAAUCAGGGCGUCAGUUUUGAUGGAGUCAUCCUUGGGAUACCACCCUUGUAGUAUUGGGACUCUAACCAUAGGCCAUGAAUCUGGUCUUGGGACACUGUCUGGUGGGCAGUUUGACUGGGGCGGUCGCCUCCCAAAAGGUAACGGAGGCGCUCAAAGGUUCCCUCAGUACGGUCGGAAAUCGUACGAAGAGUGUAAAGGCAAAAGGGAGCUUGAUUGCAAGACAUACAGGUCGAGCAAGGUAGAAAUACGGACUUAGUGAUCCGGUGGUUCUGAGUGGAAGGGCCAUCGCUCAACGGAUAAAAGCUACCCUGGGGAUAACAGGCUUAUC
rnacentral:rRNA from 1 species